AGUGAACGCUGGCGGUAGGCCUAACACAUGCAAGUCGAACGGCAGCACACUAAGAGCUUGCUCUUACGGGUGGCGAGUGGUGGACGGGUGAGGAAUACAUCGGACUCUUCUUUUUCAUGGGGGAUAACGUAGGGUAACAUAAGCUAAUAUCGCAUACGACCUACGGGUGGAAGCAGGGGAACUUCUGAUCUUGCGCGACUGCAUGAGCCGAUGUCGGAUUAGCUAGUUGGCGGGGUAAAGGCCCACCAAGGCGACGAUCCGUAGCUGGUCUGAGAGGAUGAUCAGCCACACGGGAGCUGAGACACGGUCCAGACUCCUACGGAAGGCAGCAGUGGGGAAUGUUGGACAAAGGGCGCAAGCCUGAUCCAGCCAUACCGCGUGGGUGAAGAAGGCCUUCGGGUUGUAAAGCCCUUUUGUUGGGAAAGAAAAGCAGCAGGUUAAUACCCCGCUGUUCUGACGGUACCCAAUGAAUAAGCACCGGCUAACUUCGUG
rnacentral:rRNA from 1 species